rnacentral:rRNA from 1 species
UGAGGAAUAUUGGUCAAUGGGGGCAACCCUGAACCAGCCAAGUCGCGUGAAGGAUGAAGGUCUUAUGGAUUGUAAACUUCUUUUACACGGGAAUAAAGCGGGGGACGUGUCCCUCUUUGCAUGUACCGUGUGAAUAAGGAUCGGCUAACUCCGUGCCAGCAGCCGCGGUAAUACGGAGGAUCCGAGCGUUAUCCGGAUUUAUUGGGUUUAAAGGGUGCGCAGGCGGGAUGUUAAGUCGGCGGUGAAAUUUUGCAGCUCAACUGUAAAAGUGCCUUCGAUACUGGCCUUCUUGAGUGUGGAUGAAGUAGGCGGAAUUUGUGGUGUAGCGGUGAAAUGCUUAGAUAUCACGAGGAACUCCGAUUGCGCAGGCAGCUUACUAAGCCACAACUGACGCUCAUGCACGAAGGCGUGGGGAUCAAAC